CCUACGGGGAGCUGCAGUGGGGAAUAUUGCACAAUGGGGGAAACCCUGAUGCAGCGACGCCGCGGGAGUGAAGAAGUAUUUCGGUAUGUAAAGCUCUAUCAGCAGGGAAGAAAAUGACGGUACCUGAUUAAGAAGCCCCGGCUACCUACGUGCCAGCAGCCGCGGUAAGACGUAGGGGGCAAGCGUUAUCCGGAUUUACUGGGUGUAACGGGAGCGUAGACGGCAGCACAAGUCUGGAGUGAAAUGCCGGGGCUUAACCCCGGAACUGCUUUGGAAACUGUGCAGCUAGAGUGCAGGAGAUGUAAGUGGAAUUCCUAGUGUAGCGGUGAAAUGCGUAGAUAUUAGGAGGAACACCAGUGGCGAAGGCGGCUUACUGGACUGUAACUGACGUUGAGGCUCGAAAGCGUGGGGAGCAAACAGGAUUAGAUACCCUAGUAGUC
rnacentral:rRNA from 1 species